rnacentral:lncRNA from 10 species
CGCCUGUCUGUCCCAGCUACUCUCCAAACACGCCCACACUUCAGCGGGAGUCCGUUGCAGGCACCCAGAAAUCACCACCAAACUCACCAAUUUCACUGCGUUACUCCCCAGUCUCUCUCAUGUCUUCACCAUCCCUCAGGGACCCUCCCGUCUGUCCCAGCUACUCUCCAACCACGCCCACACUUCAGCGGGAGUCCGUUCCAGGCACCCAGGAAUCACCACCAAACUCACCAAUUUCACUCAAUUACUCUCCAGUCUCUCUCAUGUCUUCACCAGCCCUCAGGGACUCUCCUG